UUAUGUGAUGGUGAUCUGGCUGCGACAUCUGUUCACCUUCAUUGAUUUUCAGGGUUGAUUCCACUGAUCUCUCUGCUAGGACUGGUGUCCCCUUUUCCUUUCUUACCACUGUAAACAGAGAGCCAUGGAAAAGGAUAGACUUCCUGGAAUAGAGACAAACCGGUCUUCUGUCCAGGGUACACUAGUAGCUGCACUCCCCUGCUAGAACCUCCAAACAAGCUCUCAAAAGAAUUGUUAAAUCAUAUAAAACACAAAGAAACAUUGGUUUGAUGUCUUGAAUUUUCU
rnacentral:snRNA from 1 species